rnacentral:rRNA from 1 species
GAUGAACGCUAGCUACAGGCUUAACACAUGCAAGUCGAGGGGUAACGAGAGGGAAGCUUGCUUUCCUUGUCGACGACCGGCGGAUGGGUGAGUAACGCGUAUCCAACCUGCCCUUCAGUAAGGGAUAGCCUUUCGACAGAAAGAAUAAUACCUUAUGUGAUCGUCUGAUGACAUCAGACGACAAUGAAAGAUUUAUAGCUGAAGGAUGGGGAUGCGUCCCAUUAGGCAGUAGGCGGGGUAACGGCCCACCUAACCUACGAUGGGUAGGGGUUCUGAGAGGAAGGUCCCCCACAUUGGAACUGAGACACGGUCCAAACUCCUACGGGAGGCAGCAGUGAGGAAUAUUGGUCAAUGGCCGUAAGGCUGAACCAGCCAAGUAGCGUGCAGGAUGACGGCCCUAUGGGUUGUAAACUGCUUUUAAACGGGGAUAAAGUGAGCCACGUGUGGUUUAUUGCAGGUACCGUUUGAAUAAGGACCGGCUAAUUCCGUGCCAGCCGCCGCAGUAA